rnacentral:tRNA from 1 species
GGGGGGUUGGUCUAAGGUGGUCAUGAUUCGAGGUCAUGAUUCGGGAAUGUGGCUCCCGCGAUCGAGGUUCGACUCCUCGGCUCCCCU